CAGUGGUAGUGCUGAUGCCUCGCAGUUAGGAGACCAAGGUUCGCUUCCUGGGUCCUCCCUGUGUGGAGUUUGCAUGUUCUCCCCAUGUCUGCGUGGGUUUCCUCCCACAGUCCAAAAACAUGCAAGUUAGGUGGAUUGGCGAUUCUAAAUUGGCCCUAGUGUGUGCUUGGUGUGUGGGUGUGUUUGUGUGUGUCCUGCGGUGGGUUGGCACCCUGCCCGGGAUUGGUUCCCUGCCUUGUGCCCUGUGUUGGCUGGGAUUGGCUCCAGCGGACCCCUGUGACCCUGUUCGGAUUCAGCGGGUUGGAAAAUGGAUGGAUGGAU